rnacentral:rRNA from 1 species
AUUGAACGCUGGCGGCAGGCUUAACACACGCAAGUCGAGCGGGGGAGGUUGCUUCGGUAACUGACCUAGCGGCGGACGGGUGAGUAAUGCUUAGGAAUCUGCCUAUUAGUGGGGGACAACAUUCCGAAAGGGAUGCCAAUACCGCAUACGCCCUACGGGGGAAAGCAGGGGAUCUUCGGACCUCGCGCUAAUAGAUGAGCCUAAGUCGGAUUAGCUAGUUGGUGGGGUAAAGGCCUACCAAGGCGACGAUCUGUAGCGGGUCUGAGAGGAUGAUCCGCCACACUGGGACUGAGACACGGCCCAGACUCCUACGGGAGGCAGCAGUGGGGAAUAUUGGACAAUGGGCGGAAGCCUGAUCCAGCCAUGCCGCGUGUGUGAAGAAGGCCCUUUGGUUGUAAAGCACUUUAAGCGAGGAGGAGGCUACUAGUACUAAUACUACUGGAUAGUGGACGUUACUCGCAGAAUAAGCACCGGCUAACUCUGUGCCAGCCGCCGCUGUAAAAC